CCCCGCGGCGGAAUGGCGUGGCGGCGUUGCGUCGCCGCCCCCGAGCCCGGCCGGGACCUCCGGAGUUCGGGGAGGCUCCCGCGGAGGCCCGCGGGAGGCAGCUCAGGGGCUGGCGUGGAAGCCCAGACCUGGGAGCCGCAGGCAUGCUGCGUCCCAAGGCUCUGACCCAGGUGCUGAGCCAGGCCAACACCGGCGGUGUCCAGAGCACGCUGCUGCUGAAUAAUGAGGGGUCCCUGCUGGCCUACUCCGGCUACGGGGACACGGACGCCCGGGUCACCGCGGCCAUCGCCAGCAACAUCUGGGCCGCCUACGACCGCAACGGGAACCAGGCGUUUAACGAAGACAAUCUCAAGUUCAUCCUCAUGGACUGCAUGGGUGGGUCUCAACAUCAGACGAAAGGAUGUGAACUGAACUGCAUUGUCACCCCAGAGUCUCCAAACGGUCUGAAGGAAGUUGGCAAGCCAUGUGGCUGUCGAGGGGAAGAAUAUUUCGAAUGUUUCCCAGAACAGCAAGUGCAAAGGCCCUGUGGUGGAAUGACGUCUGCUUGAGGAUCGGCAAGGUUGAUGUAGCUGGAACAGCAUGGGAAUAUGGGAAGGAGGGCCGCGUUGCCAUCACCCGGGUGGCCAACCUUCUGCUGUGUAUGUACGCCAAGGAGACAGUGGGCUUCGGAAUGCUCAAGGCCAAGGCCCAGGCCCUGGUGCAAUACCUGGAGGAGCCUCUUACCCAAGUA